GUGCUCUCUUCAGCAGCACAUAUACUAACAUUGGAGUGAUAGAUAAGAUUAGCAUGGCCCCUGCGCAAGGAUGACACACAAAUUCUUGAUGCGUUCCAUUAAAAA